UACGUAGGGAGCAAGCGUUAUCCGGAAUCAUUGGGCGUAAAGCGCGCGUAGGCGGCCCUGUAAGUCCGUUGUGAAAGUCAAAGGCUCAACCUUUGAAAGCCGAUGGAUACUGCAGGGCUAGAGUCCGGAAGAGGCGAGUGGAAUUCCUGGUGUAGCGGUGAAAUGCGCAGAUAUCAGGAGGAACACCAAUUGCGAAGGCAGCUCGCUGGGACGUAACUGACGCUGAGACGCGAAAGCGUGGGGAGCAAACAGG
rnacentral:rRNA from 1 species